ensembl:lncRNA
GUGACCGGGAACCAGGUGCUAGCAAGUGUCUGGAAGUGAGGCAUUGCAGAGGGAUGGACAGGCAAGGGAGUUGGAGUUGGUUGUCUCCUCAAGGAAUGAAAUGAUUUCGCAAGGCUUCCCGAAGAACGUCCACCACUCCGUGUGAGAGAAACAUUUGUAUGUCUGUGAGAGUAUUAAUGGUUGAUGAGGCAAAGCAGCUACAUCAGUAACACCAGAGAUGGUCUUUUCUUCUCCAAGGUUCUAAACCAAACAGGAGAGAAGGUGAAACCCCCAGAGGAGAUGAAGAUGAAGAGAUGAUUCCAGGAGGAGCUAAGUCUUAGACUCCAUUUCCUUUUAUUGGACUCACUAAUAUGAUACCUGAACCCAACUGUAAUGCUGGUAGAAGAUCCUUCAGGAAAUUUAGUGGUUUAUAUCCAAGAUUCCAGGAAUUGCAGCGCUGGAGUGAUCCCAGAAGUUGUUUGUGCUGUCUCCAUACCUCAAAGAAGAAGAAACUAAAAUCUGAAGCAAUUAGUCAAGUUCAAAGGAAUCAGGAUCACCUCUCAUAAAAGCCGUAUAUGAAAAUAACUACAGCAAGGGGAUUAAAUAGAAUUCAUCUUUUGGAGAAGCCUAUUUAAAAAAGAAGAAGAAUCUUCAUUAGAGACCUUUGCCUGACUCCUAAAUCCUUGGUUAAUGUGAGUCUGCUUUCCUUUAUUUUGAGCCUGAAUGCCUGGAUUCAGUUACAAUGAGAGAAUUAGCAUCAGUGGACUCCGUGGGUACACAAAGCUCUUUGAGACUCAGGGAAUCUGGACUACACAGUGGGGAAGGGCCCUGUCUCUGAGUUGUCAUUUUGAGUUUGAAUUCCUAAGACUCACCCCCACUGGGGUUUCUGGCAUGCUGCCCACAUUUUCGUUUUCUCAUCUAUGCAAUUAGAGUAAUGAAAAUGUAAGUCACACGGUUUGUUGUGAAGUUAAGUGAAAUAAAGGCAUAGAGCCCAGUAUCUGGCACUAAAAUGUGAUGCAUAGAAGGCAUGUUUCCCAUUUAUGAAACGAGGACAGAUGCGAGGAGUGACCUUGCCACCCUGCUCGGCUCAUUUCCUUCUGCAGCAUCUCCUUUCUCAGAGCUCCGGACAGCAAACGUUCACAUUGCAAUUCAAACGGAAUCUCUUGCAAGUUUGAGGAUCAUUAAAUGACUAGCCUCUGUGUGUGUGUGUGUGUGUGUGUGUGUGUGUGUGUGUGUGUGUGUUUCUUCUUCUAACAAUUGCUGUUUCUCAGCUCUUGUCGAUGUGGUUACA